CCAGACUCCUACGGGAGGCAGCAGUGGGGAAUAUUGCACAAUGGGGGAAACCCUGAUGCAGCGACGCCGCGUGAGUGAAGAAGUAUUUCGGUACGUAAAGCUCUAUCAGCAGGGAAGAAAAAAAGUCCUUUGGACUUUGGACGGUACCUGACCAAGAAGCCCCGGCUAACUACGUGCCAGCAGCCGCGGUAAUACGUAGGGGGCAAGCGAUAUCCGGAUUUACUGGGUGUAAAGGGAGCGUAGACGGCAGCGCAAGUCUGGAGUGAAAUGCCGGGGCCCAACCCCGGAACUGCUUUGGAAACUGUGCAGCUGGAGUGCAGGAGAGGUAAGCGGAAUUCCUAGUGUAGCGGUGAAAUGCGUAGAUAUUAGGAGGAACACCAGUGGCGAAGGCGGCCUGCUGGGCUUUUACUGACGCUGAGGCUCGAAAGUGUGGGGAGCAAACAGGAUUAGAUACCCCGAUA
rnacentral:rRNA from 1 species